GUAAGAAGAUCAAGGCCUCUGCGGUUCUGUAGGGUAACUGCUGCUAGAGAGCCUAAUUGAUUUUGGAGUGCCGCCGGGUUAGAGUCUCCGCGACUGAGCUGGUCUCGGCAAGCGGUGCCCAACAUGGGGGCUCACAUCCGGGUCAAAGGGUCGCCGGAGCGACAGUUGGAGAACGUGAAACUAAACUGGAGGACACCCGAGUACUCUUAAGCAAUCCCCGUGCAGAGCCAGGAGAGCGUAUAGCACAGCUCCUGAUUGUGCCGUGAGAGUGGACAGGGCGAUGGCAGGUUCGCCGGGUGUGAGGCUUCACAGCGGUCCAGGGACCAAGUCGAGAUGGUGAAAACAAGACCAAGAUUGGAAAGCCAGCUUCAGAGGAGGGAAUUACAGCAAAAAUUGAACCAUUGACAGAAGAGUCUAGCAGUCUCAGAGAGAAUGUUCUCCAGGAUUCUGAAGGCAGAGAAUUCUGUGAAUUUGGGGAUAAAUUAAAUGAAAAAGAUCAGAACGCCUUUAAAAGGAGACCUCAAAACUGUGACAAAUAUGGGCAAAGCUUUGUUUGGAGUACAAGCCUUUUUAGGCAUCGAAGAACCCAUGGUGAGAAAGCUUAUGAAUGUGACAGGAGUGACUGGUGAGACAGUCAGCUACAAAAUGGAAAAAAACAAAUAUGACAAAAUGCCAAGGGGCCUAACACCACGGAAGCAAUAAGGGCUGCAGGAAAUGAAAAGAGAGAUAUCUGAGGUGGUAUUAAAGGUAGUGAAAGAGAUGGGUCGGUAUGUGAUGAAGAUCCUUUUCUUUAGAAAAGAAUUCUUCUCACAGUCACGUGGUCACAGGAUUGUUACUUUAGAAUCCCUUCCAACAUGUCUGGACCACAUUAGCCAGGAAAAAGAACUUUAACAUAGAGGACACAAACACAGGGCGUGCAGUAGCGCCAGAAUCUUUGUAUAGGAGGCUCAGAGGAGCAGCAAGAUCGAAACAGACACCCAGGGCGGGGCGCAGUGGCUCACGCCUGUAAUCCCAAGCACUUUAGGAGGCUGAGGUGGGUGGAUCACUUGAGGUCAGGAGUUUGAGACCAGCCUGGCCAACAUGGUGAAACACUGUUUCUACUAAAAAUACAAAAAUUAGCUGGGGGUGGUGGUGGGUGCCUGUAAUCCCAGCUACUCGAGAGGCUGAGGUGGGAGAAUCACUUGAACCCAGGAGGUGAAGGUUGCAGUGAGCCUGAAUCGUGGCACUGCACUCCAGCCUGGGCAACAGAACAAGACUCCGUCUCAAAAGAAGAAAGAAAGAAAAAGAGAGAAAAAAAGAAAGAGAGAGAGACAGAGAAAGAGAAAGACCCAGAACGCUUGCCUUACAACUCUAUGCUUAAUAAUCUGUAUCUGGCCAGGCGGGAUGGCUCAUGCCUGCAACCCCAGCACUUUGGAAGGCCAAGGCAGGUGGAUCAUCUGAGGUCAGGGG